CACGAUCCUCCUGCCUCAAGCCUCCUGAGCCGCUGAAAUUACAGGUGUGUGCCACUGCGCUGGGCUUUUUCAAUUUUUCAAAGUCUUAGGAAACUGAGACUCAGGGAUCACAGAAUAGUAACUUGUGGAACAGAUACAAUGCCCAGGCACAUGACUCCAGCACUGGAUAGCUGGCACAGCAUGGUGGAGACCAGCAUGGACUUAGGGUUCAGACGGACCUCAAGGAAAUCCCACCUUGCCACCUACGAGACAUAAGUCCUCUGUCCCUCAUCUGCUAAGUAGGCACAAUGACAGAGUUUUCAUGUCCUUUGAGAUGCAGUGCAAGUAAUUACCACACAAGGAGUCACACACAGGGUGACAAAGACUAGCUGAUAUCACACCUCCGUAUCACUCUACCUAGGGCCUCUGGGGUUGCACCAGAAUGCAGCAAACCCAAGGCCUGAGUCUCCUCUCUGUCUCUGAGGAGGGUGACAAAGCACAGCCAUCCUCCAUGUCUGGAAGAGCCAUCUGUGUCCUCCUCAGCCUCCCGCCCCCAGUCACUCUGCUCUGAAAACAUUCAGAGCAAAACAGGAGUGUCCAGGAGCAGCUGCCCAGCCCAGACACCUCCCGGCUGCAGCACUCUGUUGACACCAGCUCUUGGUACCCCGUCCCUCCUCGUCUGUGUCUCUACUGCCACUAUGUCACCAAGACCAGGGAAAAUAGG
rnacentral:lncRNA from 1 species